rnacentral:lncRNA from 1 species
UUUCUCUCGUUCAGGUUGUGACAACCACUGCUUAACUGCACACUUUGUAGUCCACUUAAUUAUGCAGUCGUGAUCUGAAUGGAAGACGGAUCGGAUCACUCGAGGGGCAGGUCACCUGAGGGGUAGAUGUGCGUGCCUGCAGCAGCUGGUGUAUCUGUUCUUGCUGCUGAUGUAAGAUGGCGGUGUCAUGUACAGUCGCGGUCUCAGGGUACCAGACAGAGGGGCUGCUGCGUUGGGGGCUGUGGAAUGAGCUGCUCCCUCACAUCAGAUACACCAAUGACGUACCUUCACAUGGGAUUUGUGGGAUAGCUGAAUAUAUUAUGCAUCUUUGUACUGUGUGCUUUCUGAGUGUGUAAAGAAAUAGUAGAUCAUUGGUGAUUGUCUCAUUGUACAAAUUACUAUAGCUUAGCCCACAAAUAAAAAUAUUGAUGGUCAUAACUGAAGAUCUUGAUUUAAUUCAUGUGGUCUUUAUUGAAUGGUUAUAGAUGUGUAAAUAAUUGGUGGUCAGAAUUCAAACUGCCCUGUCACUAUCCGAUAUGCUGUAACUAGAUUGCUAUGGUAUGUGAUUAUGUUCACUGCCAGUUUAUACAUAUGUGUAUCUUGUGUGAUUAAUUAUGUUAUUAUUUUGUUUGUUUACACCUGUUGUAAUUUAUAAAUGAAAUAGACACAUUUGUGAUUCAUUUUAUCAGUAAUGAUUUAGG